CUCUCGGUAGCCAAGUUGGUUUAAGGCGCAAGACUGUAAAUCUUGAGAUCGGGCGUUCGACUCGCCCCCGAGAGA
rnacentral:tRNA from 5 species